ensembl:lncRNA
GGAAAAACUGAGGCCCAGAGAGAGGUUACAUCCAGUUCAUCCCAGAGCUGGGGCUGGAAGCCAAGCCUGCUCACCUGGACUGGUUUUCUUCCUUGGCCCCCGGGGUCUCAAACAAAGGGAUUCAUAUGAACCUGGAAGUAAGGCACAGCCAAGCUGAAAUGUCUCCCAUAACAGGCUGGCUGCUUUGAUGUAAGGUAGUAAACACCUGGCCACAGAGGGAAGCCGAGGUCCCAAUGUCCUGGUGUCCGUUGAGCCUGUCUGGGCAGAAGGCACAGCUCUCUGAGUCCCCCUGGCUCUGGCUCCGACCCCAGUAAGAGGCCUGUCCCGGGGCCUCCUUGGGGAUUGGGAGCCCCCGGAUGAAGGGGCGGAAUGAGCAGUUCUUGAUCUCCUUCCAUCCCAUCUCCUGCAGCCAACUUCUUCUGAGACUCUUCAGCGGGAGGUAGGAAUGGCCAAUAGCCAUAGCUCAGAGGAUGGUGUCUACUGUAACUUGGGGUUAAGAGAGGAUGGUGGCAUUCCUGGAUCAGCCUGAAAUCACUCAUCUCCCACCCUCACUUUGAUGUCCCACCCAUCCGAAGUUAAGUACAUUCUACCUUGUAACUGAAAAUUGACUCCCAUGCUAGAUCAGCCAUGGGGAGAGACAUUCAAGUC